rnacentral:rRNA from 1 species
GAUGAACGCUAGCGGCAGGCUUAACACAUGCAAGUCGAGGGGCAGCGCGGGAUAGCAAUAUCCUGGCGGCGACCGGCGGAAGGGUGCGUAACGCGUGAGCGACAUGCCCGUUGCCCGGGGACAACCGGUGGAAACGCCGACUAAUCCCCGAUGGGAUAUUGUGCCGCAUGGCACGAUAUUGAAAGUUACGGCGGCGACGGAUUGGCUCGCGUCCGAUUAGCUUGUUGGCGGGGUAACGGCCCACCAAGGCUGCGAUCGGUAGGGGUUCUGAGAGGAAGGCCCCCCACAAUGGGACUGAGACACGGCCCAUACUCCUACGGGAGGCAGCAGUGAAGAAUAUUGGUCAAUGGGCGGAAGCCUGAACCAGCCAUGCCGCGUGCGGGAAGGAGGCCCUAUGGGCUGUGAACCGCUUUUGCCUGGGGGCAAUAAGGGCGUCGCGCACGUCCGAUGAGAGUACCAGGCGAAUAAGCAUCGGCUAACUCCGUG